GACGAACGCUGGCGGCGUGCUUAACACAUGCCAGUCGAACGGAAAGGCCCUGCUUUUGUGGGGUGCUCGAGUGGCGAACGGGUGAGUAACACGUGAGUAACCUGGCCUUGACUUUGGGAUAACUUCAGGAAACUGGGGCUAAUACCGGAUAGGAGCUCCUGCUGCAUGGUGGGGGUUGGAAAGUUUCGGCGGUUGGGGAUGGACUCGCGGCUUAUCAGCUUGUUGGUGGGGUAGUGGCUUACCAAGGCUUUGACGGGUAGCCGGCCUGAGAGGGUGACCGGCCACAUUGGGACUGAGAUACGGCCCAGACUCCUACGGGAGGCAGCAGUGGGGAAUAUUGCACAAUGGGCGGAAGCCUGAUGCAGCAACGCCGCGUGCGGGAUGACGGCCUUCGGGUUGUAAACCGCUUUCGCCUGUGACGAAGCGUGAGUGACGGUAAUGGGUAAAGAAGCACCGGCUAACUACGUG
rnacentral:rRNA from 1 species